rnacentral:rRNA from 1 species
CAGGCUUAACACAUGCAAGUCGAGGGGCAUCAGGAAGAAAGCUUGCUUUCUUUGCUGGCGACCGGCGCACGGGUGAGUAACACGUAUCCAACCUGCCCUUUACUCGGGGAUAGCCUUUCGAAAGAAAGAUUAAUACCCGAUGGCAUAAUGAUUCCGCAUGGUUUCAUUAUUAAAGGAUUCCGGUAAAGGAUGGGGAUGCGUUCCAUUAGGUUGUUGGUGAGGUAACGGCUCACCAAGCCUUCGAUGGAUAGGGGUUCUGAGAGGAAGGUCCCCCACAUUGGAACUGAGACACGGUCCAAACUCCUACGGGAGGCAGCAGUGAGGAAUAUUGGUCAAUGGGCGCUAGCCUGAACCAGCCAAGUAGCGUGAAGGAUGAAGGCUCUAUGGGUCGUAAACUUCUUUUAUAUAAGAAUAAAGUGCAGUAUGUAUACUGUUUUGUAUGUAUUAUAUGAAUAAGGAUCGGCUAACUCCGUGCCAGCAGCCGCGGUAAUACGGAGGAUCCGAGCGUUAUCCGGAUUUAUUGGGUUUAAAGGGAGCGUAGGUGGACUGGUAAGUCAGUUGUGAAAGUUUGCGGCUCAACCGUAAAAUUGCAGUUGAUACUGUCAGUCUUGAGUACAGUAGAGGUGGGCGGAAUUCGUGGUGUAGCGGUGAAAUGCUUAGAUAUCACGAAGAACUCCGAUUGCGAAGGCAGCUCACUGGACUGCAACUGACACUGAUGCUCGAAAGUGUGGGUAUCAAACAGGAUUAGAUACCCUGGUAGUCCACACAGUAAACGAUGAAUACUCGCUGUUUGCGAUAUACAGUAAGCGGCCAAGCGAAAGCAUUAAGUAUUCCACCUGGGGAGUACGCCGGCAACGGUGAAACUCAAAGGAAUUGACGGGGGCCCGCACAAGCGGAGGAACAUGUGGUUUAAUUCGAUGAUACGCGAGGAACCUUACCCGGGCUUAAAUUGCAGUGGAAUGAUGUGGAAACAUGUCAGUGAGCAAUCACCGCUGUGAAGGUGCUGCAUGGUUGUCGUCAGCUCGUGCCGUGAGGUGUCGGCUUAAGUGCCAUAACGAGCGCAACCCUUAUCUUCAGUUACUAACAGGUCAUGCUGAGGACUCUGGAGAGACUGCCGUCGUAAGAUGUGAGGAAGGUGGGGAUGACGUCAAAUCAGCACGGCCCUUACGUCCGGGGCUACACACGUGUUACAAUGGGGGGUACAGAAGGCAGCUAGCGGGUGACCGUAUGCUAAUCCCAAAAGCCUCUCUCAGUUCGGAUCGAAGUCUGCAACCCGACUUCGUGAAGCUGGAUUCGCUAGUAAUCGCGCAUCAGCCACGGCGCGGUGAAUACGUUCCCGGGCCUUGUACACACCGCCCGUCAAGCCAUGGGAGCCGGGGGUACCUGAAGUACGUAACCGCAAGGAUCGUCCUAGGGUAAAACUGGUGACUGG